UUGGCUUUUAUGAUAUGAUGCAAGCUGGAUCAGGCUUUACUUUUCCACUUUCUUCCAGGGAAAGUUGAUGGUGUACAUUACUUUUUGGCCUAACAAUAUCUAAAUCGACUCCAUCAUCAUUACAGGUUUUCGUUUCAAUUUACUGAUAUUAGGUAAUGACCCAAAGGAUCCCAGCCGUCGUAUUAGGGUUCGAUUUUUUUUCAAAUUAUUUCCAUCCCCUCGAGCUUGAAGUAGAAGCUCAUGGAAUAGCUUUUUUACAUUGGUAUUCAGUUUGGCACUAGUCUCAACAUAAGGUAUAUUGUUCAUCACUUCACUUCGAGUUGUAUCAAUCAGAUCAGCAUCAACUUUACGUUCUUCAUCAAGGUCACUCUUAUUUCCAACCAGGACAAUGGGAACUUCAUGUCCUGUCAUGAAAAGAGAUAUCAACAUGAAUAUAUAAAUAUAACUUGGAUUAUCAUAAUGGUUAGACAUGGUACAUUUUUGGAUUGCUAGUUUAUAAGAUAAAUCAUAUUUCAUAAGCAUUCCUGCAAAACAUCAACAAUUGAUGUUUAAAUGUGCAACUUAAUGAUCCUAGGAAAAAUCUGCAAACGAAAAAUGCCUUGACUCUUAUGUAAUAUUAUGCCAAAUGGUCAAUAAUGGUUGAGAAAUAAUCAGAGUAACAAUUGAUGAAUAUCAAUAAUAAUCCAAAAAGGCAGUAAAAAUAAACUGGCGAAUGGUGCAACUUGAACUUGCUGGGCAAUCGUGUGAUUAGGAAUAAUGUUUACCUCUUAUUUUGGUGAUGAGCUCGUAUAAGUUGAUGGUCUCAUAGAAAGACUGAAGGCUAUCAACGGAAAAAACCAAUACAAAUGCUCUCCCGGUUUGAAUGCUGAGCUGACGCAUUGCAGGGAAGCAAUGAGUUCCCGCUGUAUCCAAAAUUUCAACCGUAUGACGCAUACCAUCUUUAUGAUAACAAAUAUAAACAAAAAUGAAACAAUUGAAAGAUUAGAUAAAGCGCAAAAAUUAUAUCGGCACACUUUUUAUUAUUUUAAAUUAAACGGUUAUUUGGAUUGGAGUUGACCUAAACCUGAAAUAUAUGACAAACCCAUAAAAUUUGAAACUGCCUCAGUUAACCUGCAUUAUAAAUACAUCAAAAUUAAAUUUGUCCUGCAUCUAUUCAAAGUGCUAAGAUAAGUAUUAUGAAUCAGUGAAAUAAAAAACAAAAGGAUAAACAGUGAACAAGCAAAAUAAUAGAUCAAACAUGAUUUGUUUCUGAUAGAUUUUAUUAUACUUCUCGAAGCAGAGCACUGAAACUCUGACUGAGCGGUUCAGAAACAUUCUCCUAUUCAGCAUACAAAAAUCUUGACCAGCUCUUGAUGAAUACUUGCAGAAAACAUGAUUACAUGUGUCUAAAAAAUAAUUGCAUUUGCAUAUUACAAGUUCCGACCUUGUUCCAUUUGCCUAAGUUAUUCUUCAAGUGGCUCUAAAUUAUGUUCCCAUUGAAUGAUUUCCAAAAGCUCAGUCCAGGUUUGACCAAGCUAAGGCAAACAUUCUAGCUUGAAAUAGACGAGCAAAUUAUCUAGUCCUUCAUAUCAUCUGAAGUCUUCAAUUUAUUAUUAAUAAUUUCCUUGUUUCAACUAACAGCUAUUCCUCGAUUCCUAGAGUAGUCAUUUAUUUUGUAUCGCUUCAUUUUAUAAUUUCCAAUUUAUAAUAUAUUAUUCCAGAGUCUUAUUAAAGUUUUAUGCUCAAAAAA